AGGCUUGUAGCUCAGGUGGUUAGUAGCGCACCCCUGAUAAGGGGUGAGGUCGGUGGUUCAAGUCCACUCAGGCCUUACA
rnacentral:tRNA from 1 species